rnacentral:lncRNA from 1 species
CCCACAGCUGGCCAGCUCGCAGGGGAAGAGCAAGGUUCAAAGCCAGGCAGGGUGGUCUGCCUUCCCCAGGGACUUGGCCCUGCAAAGGUCCUGGGGCUGAGCUAAUGGAGGGGGGCAGCACUCACCCAGGCCCCACCCAGCCUCUGUGAGCACCAAGGUGGGUGCCGGCCACUGGAAGUGCCGUUAUAGUCAUCAUGAUUGGGGUCAUCAUCACUACAGCCAGGAAGAGGCCCCCACCAGACCAAACCACACAGCCACCCUGGACCCCAGCUCCCAGAAGCACGGGGAAACAAACAUCCGUUGCCUAAACCCCAGGCUGACAUCUUGUCACAGUAGCCAGAGUGGACUCAGGUCCACAGCGGAGUCGAGGAAGGCUUCCUGCAGAGCCAAUGUGGCCAUCCUUGGGGGAGCCAGGCCGGGCCAACCCCUCUCCCACCACACAGCAGCCUGGCUGCAAAUGCGGGAAGCUUCUUGGGGACUUCAUGGCUCCACUGCAGGCACAGAGGCCAGCCUGGAUGAGAGACCAGGCACCCUCCGCAGUCCAGCCAGGGCCCUGGAGCAGGGCAAAGAGGCAGAAAGAUCACGGGUACUGAGCCCCAGAUUUCCGCUGCCCCUGCUGCCCUGGCAGAGGAAACAGAGAACAAGGCCCCCACCCACCCAGCUCCCACCCUGGGGGCAGCUUGGAAGUGGGGAUCUCGGCCAGGCUCUGAAUGACAGAAACCAUCAGGACAUGGAAAAACAAGACCUAUAAAGAAAUACACAUUUUAUACAUCAGUUUAAUUAAAGUACAUUAAAAUGAGUUUGCUUAAAUAAAAAAAAAAAUUA